rnacentral:lncRNA from 1 species
CUACCUUUAUACCGGUAGUUGUAAACCCUAUAUCAUCCCCUUGCAGAGUUAACCUUUUGUUCCUCCAAAUCGAUGACGGUUACUUGUCCGUGGUUUUCUACCCAGUAUCCGGUAGAUGUAAUCCCCUCCUUGACGGUUAUCAUUAUCCAAUAUUCGGUACUGAUAAGUCCUUCACACCCGGUGAUAUAUCUCUUGGAUAAUUGCUCUGAUAAAGCAAUUUAUCCCCAAC